GAUGAACGCUGGCGGCGUGCCUAAUACAUGCAAGUCGAGCGAACGGACGAGAAGCUUGCUUUUCUGAUGUUAGCGGCGGACGGGUGAGUAACACGUGGAUAACCUACCUAUAAGACUGGGAUAACUUCGGGAAACCGGAGCUAAUACCGGAUAAUAUUUUGAACCGCAUGGUUCAAAAGUGAAAGACGGUCUUGCUGUCACUUAUAGAUGGAUCCGCGCUGCAUUAGCUAGUUGGUAAGGUAACGGCUUACCAAGGCAACGAUGCAUAGCCGACCUGAGAGGGUGAUCAGCCACACUGGAACUGAGACACGGUCCAGACUCCUACGGGAGGCAGCAGUAGGGAAUCUUCCGCAAUGGGCGAAAGCCUGACGGAGCAACGCCGCGUGAGUGAUGAAGGUCUUCGGAUCGUAAAACUCUGUUAUUAGGGAAGAACAGAUGUGUAAGUAACUGUGCACAUCUUGACGGUACCUAAUCAGAAAGCCACGGCUAACUACGUG
rnacentral:rRNA from 1 species